CCUACGGGAGGCUGCAGUGAGGAAUAUUGGUCAAUGGACGAGAGUCUGAACCAGCCAAGUAGCGUGAAGGAUGACUGCCCUAUGGGUUGUAAACUUCUUUUAUAUGGGAAUAAAAUGUUCCACGUGUGGGAUUUUGUAUGUACCAUAUGAAUAAGGAUCGGCUAACUCCGUGCCAGCAGCCGCGGUAAUACGGAGGAUCCGAGCGUUAUCCGGAUUUAUUGGGUUUAAAGGGAGCGCAGGUGGAUUGUUAAGUCAGUUGUGAAAGUUUGCGGCUCAACCGUAAAAUUGCAGUUAAAACUGGCAGUCUUGAGUACAGUAGAGGUGGGCGGAAUUCGUGGUGUAGCGGUGAAAUGCUUAGAUAUCACGAAGAACUCCGAUUGCGAAGGCAGUUCACUGGACUGCAACUGACACUGAGGCUCGAAAGUGUGGGUAUCAAACAGGAUUAGAUACCCGUGUAGUC
rnacentral:rRNA from 1 species